rnacentral:lncRNA from 1 species
CCAUGGUGGCCAUGAUGCCAUCCCCUGGCAUGGGCCAUCUAAUCCCGAUGAUCGAGUUCGCCAAGCGAGUCGUUCGCUACCAUAACCUGUCGGUCACCUUCGUCAUCCCCACCCAAGGCCCACCUUCCAAGGCCCAAACCGCCGUCCUCCACGCUCUCCCCGACUCCAUCUCCCACACCUUCCUCCCUCCGGUCACUCUCUCGGACCUCCCGCCUGACGCAAUGAUCGAAACCACCAUGUCCCACGUCGUCCUCCGCUCCCUCCCUUCCCUACGCGAAGCCUUCCAUUCUCUCUCCGCCACCCACACACUCGCAGCCCUUGUUGUCGACCUCUUCUCCACCGACGCCUUUGACAUCGCCGCCGAAUUCAACGCCUCCCGCUACGUCUUCUUCCCAUCCACCGCCACUGCCCUCUCCCUCUUCUUCUACCUCCCAACCCUAGACCAGGAGGCCCACUGCGAGUUCCGGGACCUCCCCGAACCGGUGACCAUCCCUGGCUGCAUUCCUAUUCACGGAAGGGAUUUACUCGACCCGGUUCAGGACCGCAAGAACGAGGCCUACAAGUGGGUCCUACACCACGCGAAGAGGUAUAGAGAAGCCGAGGGAAUAAUCGAGAACAGCUUCGCAGAGCUUGAACCGGGAGCUUGGCGCGAGUUGCAGAAGGAACAACCGGGACGGCCCCCGGUUUACGCGGUGGGGCCAUUAGUCAGAAUGGAAACGGGUCCAGUGGAGUCGGAGUGUUUAAGGUGGUUAGAUGAGCAGCCUCGUGGGAGCGUGUUAUUUGUAUCCUUCGGAAGCGCUGGGACCCUCUCCAGUGCCCAGAUCAAGGAGCUGGCUCACGGGCUGGAAGCGAGCGAGCAACGGUUUUUGUGGGUGGUGAAGAGCCCAAACGACGAAAUCGCCAACGGUUCUUAUUUCAAAGCGGAGACUGCGGCGGAUCCGUUUGGGUUUUUACCCGAAGGGUUUGUGGAGAGAACGAAAGGUAGGGGCCUUUUGGUUCCCUCUUGGGCUCCGCAACCUCAGGUUCUGGCCCAUCCCUCCACCGCUGGGUUCCUCACCCAUUGCGGCUGGAACUCCAUUCUGGAGAGCGUGGUGAACGGGGUGUCCUUCAUCGCAUGGCCCCUCUUCGCGGAGCAGAGGAUGAACGCCUUUAUGCUCACCCACGACGUCAAGGUAGCGCUGAGGCCCAAAGUUUCCGAUAAUGGCUUAGUGGAGAGACAGCAAAUAAGUAGCGUUGUGAAGUCCCUGAUGGAAGGUGAAGAGGGGAAGAAGCUGCGUUACCGAAUGAAGGAUCUGAAGGAUGCUGCUGCCAUGGCUCUCGCUGAAGACGGUUCCUCCACCAACCAUAUCUCCCAUUUGGCCCUCAUCUGGGCCAACAAAACUGCUCCAAAACCUCGUCAAUUAAAUUAAAGCCUUCCUCCUGUACUAUCCCCACUUAACUUAUUUUUGUUUUUAAUUAUAAAUAUGCCUGUAGUUUUUCAAAUUUGGAUCAUAACUUCGUUUACUACACUGCAGAUGGAUAAAAUGGCAUAAAUAAAUAAAUAAAAAAUUGGGUAGAGUGUGAAGAAGUGUAAUAAAAUUGAAUUUCACGUGGCGCUUCACAUCCCAAUGAUAACGACCAGGGAUAGUGGCGAAAAAGAGGAGGGCCCAGUGGACGCAAAAUUCGUAGCUCCACCGUGACCAGUAACAAUAUAUCCAAAACUGGACGUGGCUAGCAUUAGACGGUAGAACUUGGAAGGAGUAGGAUUCCAUGUGUAGGUGUCGUCACAUAACUCAAUGCCCGCCAUGAUGAUUGUAAUAAGAAAAUUAAUCUUGGUUUUACUUCAUUCAACCACUUCUUUCAAUAAGUCUUAGCUAACGUGCGUUAAUUUCUUCAGUUUGGUAAAAUGCCUUCAACCAGAUUAAGGGAGAUUAUAACAUAAUAAUAUUUCUCUCAUAAUCUAGGAUUAAGUGCUUGAUUCAUAUAGACUUUAUCGCAUUCUUGUAGAAAUGCUACAAAUACUGCUCGUCAUCUUUUGUCUCUGGCCCCGUCCCAUGCGGAUGGCAUUUUCCUUGGUCAGCCACACUAUCUAUAUGAUGCUCUCUUCAAAAACAGUGUGCUUCUCAGGAUCCACCUGUUAUAGAGAAUAAAAUUAUUUUCAUACUGUUCAAAUAUAAUUGAAAAAAGAAAAAUAUUAUUUUCACACCCACUUUUUGCAUUGCUUCA